rnacentral:rRNA from 1 species
CUGGCUCAGGAUGAACGCUAGCUACAGGCUUAACACAUGCAAGUCGAGGGGCAGCAUGUGGUUGCUGCAACCAAUGAUGGCGACCGGCGCACGGUGAGUAACGCGUAUCCAACCUUCCCUAUAGUAGAGGAUAGCCCGGCGAAAGUCGGAUUAAUACUCUAUGUUUUCCAAUGCAGACAUCUAAGUUGGAACAAAGGUUCACCGCUAUAGGAUGGGGAUGCGUCUGAUUAGAUAGUCGGCGGGGUAACGGCCCACCGAGUCGACGAUCAGUAGGGGUUCUGAGAGGAAGGUCCCCCACAUUGGAACUGAGACACGGUCCAAACUCCUACGGGAGGCAGCAGUGAGGAAUAUUGGUCAAUGGGCGAGAGCCUGAACCAGCCAAGUAAGCGUGCAGGAUGACGGCCCUAUGGGUUGUAAACUGCUUUUAUACAGGGAUAAAGUGACGUACGUGUACGUUUUUGUAGGUACUGUAUGAAUAAGGACCGGCUAAUUCCGUGCCAGCCGCCGC